CCUACGGGGGGCAGCAGUGGGGAAUUUUCCGCAAUGGGCGAAAGCCUGACGGAGCAAUACCGCGUGAGGGAUGACGGCCUAUGGGUUGUAAACCUCUUUUUUCAGGGAGGAAAAAAAUGACGUUACCUGAAGAAUAAGCAUCGGCUAACUCCGUGCCAGCAGCCGCGGUAAGACGGGGGAUGCAAGUGUUAUCCGGAAUCACUGGGCGUAAAGCGUCUGUAGGUGGUUUAAUAAGUCAACUGUUAAAUCUUGAGGCUCAACCUCAAAACCGCAGUCGAAACUAUUAGACUAGAGUAUAGUAGGGGUAAAGGGAAUUUCCAGUGGAGCGGUGAAAUGCGUAGAGAUUGGAAAGAACACCGAUGGCGAAGGCACUUUACUGGGCUAUUACUAACACUGAGAGACGAAAGCUAGGGUAGCAAAUGGGAUUAGAUACCCCGGUAGUC
rnacentral:rRNA from 1 species